UAGUCAUAUGCUUGUCUCAAAGAUUAAGCCAUGCACGUCCAAGUACGCGCCGCACAGAAGGCGAAACCGCGAAUGGCUCAUUAAAUCAGUUGUGGUUCCCUGGAUCGUACCCCACUACUUGGAUAACUGUGGCAAUUCCAGAGCUAAUACAUGCAGCGGAGCUCCGACCUCCGGGAACGAGCGCUUUUAUUAGACCAAAACCCAACGGGCCUAGUGCCCGUCCUCCGUGGUGACUCUGUGUAACUUCGUGCCGAUCGCACGGGCCCGCCCCGGCGACGUAUCCUCCAAGUGUCUGCCUUAUCAACUGUCGAUGGUAGGCCACGCGCCUACCAUGGUCUUGACGGGUGACGGGGAAUCAGGGUUCGAUUCCGGAGAGGGAGCCUGAGAAACGGCUACCACAUCCAAGGAAGGCAGCAGGCGCGCAAAUUACCCACUCCCGGAACGGGGAGGUAGUGACGAAAAAUAACGAUACGGGACUCUUUUGAGACCCCGUAAUCGGAAUGAGCGCGUCCCAAACCCCCCAGCGAGGACCCAUUGGAGGGCAAGUCUGGUGCCAGCAGCCGCRGUAAUUCCAGCUCCAAUAGCGUAUAUUAAAGUUGUUGCGGUUGAAAAGCUCGUAGUUGGAUCCCAGCCCGGGACGGGGUGUCCGCCCACCGGCGGGCUCCCCCGACCCCGGCGUCGCGCCGGUUUCCCCCGAUGAUCUUCACCGGUUGUCUCGGGUGACCGGCAAGUUUACUUUGAAAAAAUUAGAGUGCUCAGGGCAGGCGUGACGCCUGGAUAAUGGUGCAUGGAAUAAUGGAACAGGACCUCGGUUCUGUUUUGUUGGUUUUCGGAACGCGAGGUAAUGAUCAAGAGGGACAGACGGGGGCAUUCGUAUUGCGGCGCUAGAGGUGAAAUUCUUGGACCGCCGCAAGACGAACCACUGCGAAAGCAUUUGCCAAGAAUGUUUCCAUUAAUCAAGAACGAAAGUCAGAGGUUCGAAGGCGAUCAGAUACCGCCCUAGUUCUGACCAUAAACGAUGCCAGCCAGCGAUCCGGCUGCGUUCCUCAAAUGACGCGCCGGGCAGCUUCCGGGAAACCAGAGCUUCUGGGUUCCGGGGGGAGUAUGGUUGCAAAGCUUAAACUUAAAGGAAUUGACGGAAGGGCACCACCAGAAAUGGAGCCUGCGGCUUAAUUUGACUCAACACGGGAAAGCUUACCCGGCCCGGACACAGGAAGGAUUGACAGAUUGAGAGCUCUUUCUUGAUUCUGUGGGUGGUGGUGCAUGGCCGUUCUUAGUUGGUGGGGCGACUUGUCUGGUUUAUUCCGAUAACGAACGAGACUCUAGCCUGCUAAAUAGUCGGGCCGAUCCUCCGAGUCGGCCGAUCUUCUUAGANGNNGGACCGGCGGCGCUCAGCCGCACGAGACAGAGCAAUAACAGGUCAGUGAUGCCCCUAGAUGUCCGGGGCCGCACGCGCGCUACAUUGAAGGAGGCGCCGUGUGCUCCCCCGGUCCGACAGGACCGGGUAACCCGAUGAAUCUCCUUCGUGCUGGGGACAGGGGAAUGUAACCGACCCCUCGAACGAGGAAUUCCCAGUAAGCCCGAGUCAUAAGCUCGUGUUGACUAAGUCCCUGCCCUUUGUGCACACCGCCCGUCGCUACCUCCGAUUGAAUGAUUUAGUGAGGUCUUCGGACCGGCGCCCGGUUCAGCCCCUCGCGGGUGGAGCCGGGUGCCGGAAAGAUGACCGAACUUGAUCACUUAGAGGAAGUAAAAGUCGUAACAAAGUUUCCGUAGGUGAAC
rnacentral:rRNA from 1 species